UGCCAAUAAAAAUGUUGCAUGGAUCAAUUAUAUCUACUAUAACCAACAGAGAUUCAUUAAUGAUACCAAAGUUGCACUCAAAGGUAUAGCUGAACAAUUAGAAGCCACCUCCCAAAUGACAUUCCAAAACCGUAUGGCCUUAGACAUGAUACUGGCUGAAAAGGGUGGAGUUUGUGUCUACAUAAAACAGGUAGAAGGAUGUUGUACCUUUAUCCCUGACAACACAGGGCCAAAUGGUAAAGUUACCCUAGCCAUAAAAAAACUAGAUGAUUUAUCCAUAGAGCUAAAAAAGAAUUCAGGUAUUGAUAACCCAUGGAGCCAAUACUUUGGUUGGUUUGAAAAUUGGAAACAGGGUCUUGUUCAACUAGGAAUCUACAUAUUGAUUGUGAUAGUAAUUUUUUGUGUUGUUUUCUUUUGCAUUAUACCCUGCUGCAGAAAACUCGCCACAAAAGGUAUUGAAAACUCGCUUAUGUAUGAAGCCGUCCUUACAAUCCUUCCUAACUCCCCUGCAGCCUAUAAGCAAUACCUAACUGAAUAUAGAAAUAAAAAGCCCCAUGUACAGAAUCAUGUUAUUUAAAUAUAUGAUUCUAAGAGGGGAUUGAAGGGUUAAACAUGCUAUAUGAAUUGUUAUGUGCUUGAAUAAACACGUACGCACUCUCUUCAAGAUGCCCUUGUCUGUUCAUAUAAUAUAAGGCUUGUGUGUGUCUUAUCUUCAAGGACAAUUACAUACCAGAUCAAAACUGUUACUUCUGUGUGUUACUAAAUAUCCUGCAUGUAAUGUCGUAUGCUACUUCUAUUUAUCCAAUCAUUUGCUUGCACAUAUUGUAUACACCCAUGUACGUUGUCUUUAUAAACCUUUGUUAACCAUAUAAUAAAGCAGAGUGACUCUUAACCCUCAACUGUGUGUUUUAUGUAUGGGGCUAAGAGCUGCUUUCACUGGUACCAAAGAGAUGAUUACAUCGAGGGGGCACAAAAAGGGUUAAUUCCCUUCAGCUACUCCCCUGCAUUACGGCGCACCGUGACGUCAUGGCCAAGGGACGCAGAAGCAGACCGGGCGUGCUGGGAGGCGGUCGCGCCAUGGAGCAGAUUCAGGAGCAGAUCUGAAUCCCCACAAGCUUUAACCAGGAGAUUGGGUGUAUCUGGAAAGACACGUGAAAAAGUCACUUGAGCCCAGAUUUGAUGGUCCAUAUCGAGUGUUUCUGACCACGCCCACUUCUGUGUCAAUUAAGGAAAGAGAAACUUGGGUUCCACUGCAAUUUUGCUCAAGUUAAGUUUGAACGAUGAAAUAUGCAAACAUGCAAAGGGGAUUGUUGAAAUAGUGAUGUUUUUUAGCAAAUUGCAUAUAUCUGAAUUUAAGAUGCUAUCUUUGUUUUCCUUCCUUUCAGCUUGAAAGAAAUUUGUAAAGUGUAAACUCAAAGAAGAAACUACAGAAGAGCUUGGCAAGAAGGAGCCGUGAGCAGUCUACCUUAAUGGAUAUGAUGUGAACGGUUCUUUACCUUCCGUGGGAUAGAGUGACAAGCACCGUCCUAUGGGAACAUAGCCCUUAGCACCAUUAUAGCUAGACUGUUUGCUUAGUCUCUUGUAGGUAGAGUUUAUGUGAUGCCUUGUAGCUCAACUGUAAUGUCAUAUUGUAAUACCAGAUGAACCUGUAAUGUUUGAUUAUUAUAAAUAGGAGGGAAACUGAUAGAGAUAAAAGCUUAGCUACCAUGCUUAAUUAUAAUAAUGCAAUUCAUUUUAAUAUUACAAAGAGAUUUGAUUAAACUAGCUUGAACAUAUGGAAAAUAUAAAAGCUUGUGUUAUAUAACAUCGUGUGUGAAAGUGUGCAUCUGGUACCCUGCUCUCUCCUCAGAAACAGAAAACAUCUAAAUGUAGCUCCAGAUAAGCAGAAGGACAAGGGGCAUAUGAAGUUAUAUAAUUGUGUUAAUCAUUUACUGCCAAUAUGUGUGUAUAAAUAACGAAGCUGACCAAAGUAAAGCAGAUUACUUAUGAGA